CGAACGCUGGCGGCAUGCCUAACACAUGCAAGUCGAACGAGACCUUCGGGUCUAGUGGCGGACGGGUGAGUAACGCGUGGGAACCUGCACUUCAGUGGGGGAUAACGACGGGAAACUGUCGCUAAUACCGCAUACGCCCUCAGGGGGAAAGAUUUAUCGCUGAAGGAUGGGCCCGCGUCGGAUUAGCUAGUUGGUGAGGUAACCGCCCACCAAGGCGACGAUCCGUAGCUGGUCUAAGAGGAUGAUCAGCCACACUGGGACUGAGACACGGCCCAGACUCCUACGGGAGGCAGCAGUGGGGGAAUAUUGGGCAGUGGGCGAAAGCCUGACCCAGCGACGCCGCGUGAGGGAUGAAGGUCUUCGGAUUGUAAACCUCUUUCAGUAGGGAAGAAGCGAAAGUGACGGUACCUAAAGAAGAAGCACCGGCUAACUAUGUGCCAGCAGCCGCGGUAAUCUGAUGGCGCGAGG
rnacentral:rRNA from 1 species